UAGCAGCACGUAAAUGUUGGA
rnacentral:miRNA from 1 species